rnacentral:rRNA from 1 species
CACUGGACUGAACGGCCCCAAUCUUUACGGAGGCAGCGAUAGUGGAAUUUUCGCCAAUGGACGGAAGUCUGAGCGGAGACACGCCGCGUGAUAGAAAAGAAAGUUUUUUCGACUCGUAAACUUUGUUUUUAAGGAGAGAAACAAAGUCCGUCAGUAAAAUGGCGGUCUCUUUUGACGGUACCUAACCAGAAAGGCACGGCCUAACUACGUGCCAGCAGCCGCGUUAUAUCGUAGGUGGCAAGCGUUUUCCGGAAUUAUUUGGGCGUAAAGCGCGCGGCAGGUGGUCUUCUUAAGUCUGAUGAUGAAAGCCCACGUCUUCAACCCGUGGGAGGGGUCAUUGGAAACUGGGGAGACUUGAGUGCAGAAGAGGAAAAGUGGAAUUCCAAGUGUAGCGGUGAAAUGCGUAGAUAUUUGGAGGAACACCAGUGGCGAAGGCGACUUUCUGGUCUGUAACUGACACUGAGGCGCGAAAGCGUGGGGAGCAAACAGGAUUAGAUACCCUGGUAGUUCACGCCGUAAACGAUGAGUGCUAAGUGUUAGAGGGUUUCCGCCCUUUAGUGCUGCAGCUAACGCAUUAAGCACUCCGCCUGGGGAGUACGGUCGCAAGACUGAAACUCAAAGGAAUUGACGGGGGCCCGCACAAGCGGUGGAGCAUGUGGUUUAAUUUGAAGCAACGCGAAGAACCUUACCAGGUCUUGACAUCCUCUGACAACCCUAGAGAUAGGGCUUUCCCCUUCGGGGGACAGAGUGACAGGUGGUGCAUGGUUGUCGUCAGCUCGUGUCGUGAGAUGUUGGGUUAAGUCCCGCAACGAGCGCAACCCUUGAUUUUAGUUGCCAGCAUUCAGUUGGGCACUUUAAGAUGACUGCCGGUGACAAACCGGAGGAAGGUGGGGAUGACGUCAA